CCUACGGGGGGCUGCAGUGGGGAAUAUUGGACAAUGGGGGGAACCCUGAUCCAGCCAUGCCGCGUGUGUGAAGAAGGCCCUCGGGUUGUAAAGCACUUUCAGUGAGGAAGAACGCCUGGUGGUUAAUACCCAUCAGGAAAGACAUCACUCACAGAAGAAGCACCGGCUAACUCCGUACCAGCAGCCGCGGUAAUACGGAGGGUGCGAGCGUUAAUCGGAAUUACUGGGCGUAAAGCGCGCGUAGGUGGCUUGAUAAGCCGGUUGUGAAAGCCCCGGGCUCAACCUGGGAACGGCAUCCGGAACUGUCAAGCUAGAGUGCAGGAGAGGAAGGUAGAAUUCCCGGUGUAGCGGUGAAAUGCGUAGAGAUCGGGAGGAAUACCAGUGGCGAAGGCGGCCUUCUGGACUGACACUGACACUGAGGUGCGAAAGCGUGGGUAGCAAACAGGAUUAGAUACCCCAGUAGUC
rnacentral:rRNA from 1 species